UACGUAGGGUGCAAGCGUUAUCCGGAAUUAUUGGGCGUAAAGGGCUCGUAGGCGGUUUGUCGCGUCUGCUGUGAAAACUGGGGGCUCAACCCCCAGCCUGCAGUGGGUACGGGCAGACUAGAGUGCGGUAGGGGAGAUUGGAAUUCCUGGUGUAGCGGUGGAAUGCGCAGAUAUCAGGAGGAACACCGAUGGCGAAGGCAGAUCUCUGGGCCGUAACUGACGCUGAGGAGCGAAAGCGUGGGGAGCGAACAGG
rnacentral:rRNA from 1 species